AGAACCGUCUUCUCCUGAACUAGGGCUGUGAAAAGUCUUGUCUCCUUUUCUAAAAGUUUAAAACGUAUUGGCUUUUCCAUAAAUAUUUCUCAGGGAUUCCUGAAAUACUAAGGGCUCACAAUCUUUUUAAGGAAAAGAACAAGACCACCACUAACACUGAAAACAUUUUUUUUUUCGAGGAAGAUUAGCCCUGAGCUAACUGCUGCCAAUCCUCCUCUUUUUGCUGAGGAAGACUGGCCCUGAGCUAACAUCUGUGCCCAUCUUCCUCUACUUUAUAUGUGGGACACCUACCACAGCAUAGUGUGCCAAGCAGUGCCAUGUCCACACCUGGUAGCCGAACCGGCAAACCCUGGGCCCCCGAAGAGAAAUGUGUGCACUUAACCGCUAUGCCACUGGGCCGGCCCCUAAAAACAUUUUUAAAUUUUCUUUCUUUCUGGAUCCUAGGUUACCUCUUCAGGCAUUUUCAGUCAGCCUGGUCCAAGACUCCAUGCAGGAAUUGACAAAGCAGCCUAGAUAGCCCAGCUUCCUUGGCUGAAAGACUUAUAAUCAGCCAAAAGGAUCAGCCUCGGCAAGACUCUUCCUCAUGCAGCAUCCACUAAGGGACCCUGCUUCGCUAACAGAUCAUUCCUGGGAGAUGAUUCCUCCUUCUUCCUCGUUUCUUCUGGGUCCAGGGUGCAGAGGUACCGUGUGAGGACAGGCAGGCAGGUAGCAGAAGGACAAUGCAGAAGGGCAAGAAACUCAGAAAUGAAAACAAACACAGUAAACUACACACUUAAGGACAGAAGGAGAAAAUUCUUCACCUGUUGGCUCAUUUUAGCAAAAAUCAACUCCUUUGAUUCAAGAAUGUUUGGACGGUUUGCAGCUCAUGAAGCCCCGCAUUUUUUUGUGAUGUUUUGUAAAUUAUGCAUCAUCUCUGGUAGAUCCCUGUCAAAGACUUAAGGUUUCACAUGGACUGCCGUGGUCAACAUGUGCCUCACACAAAAAUAGCUGAAGAGGGAAAAAAAUACCUGGACCGUUUGUAAAGAUGGAGCAUGAUUAGCAGAAUAGUGUAAGAGUGUGGACUCUGGUUGACACCCCG
rnacentral:lncRNA from 1 species